UCGAGGUCUCUUCUCCUCCUCUGCUUCCGAUCCCCGCGUCUCCUCGACGAGUUCAAUACCUCGAUCCCCCGCGUCCCUUUCGCCGCUGCAAUGGCGGCCUUCACCGCCGCCACCCCCUCGUCUGUCUCUUUGUUAUUCUUUCGGCCCGCCGUGUCCGGACCUCAAACGAGGGUUUGUUGUACACCGACGUCGCCCGAUCCACCGGACAUGGUUUCGAUGUCUCUUUAUUCGCUGGCUUCAAAGAAUUGGGAACAACAAGGUCUGAUGACCUUCCUGCCCUAGUGCAUGGCAUUAGGAAGAUCUGUUUGGUUCUAUAUCUUUCAGAUGACUGUUGAUGGUGAAGUGGUAAUCGAUCCCAGCAUUGUUCUCAGUGCCUUAGCUUGUGGCAGUUCACUAAAGUCAACUACUGCUGGAUGGAGAUUGGAGAUGCUUUAUUUGCUGAAUCGGGGAUGCCUCGUUUCCUCUAUGCUUCAUGUGGAGGUAUAAACAAUUUGGCCAUUUGAAGGCUCGACUUGCUCGACUCACCAGCAGCUCGAGUGGGCCGAGGGUUUUAAAGCUAUGCACUGAUACUCCAUGUGCAUAUCACAGACUGCGUCCUGCUCCGUGCUAUGGGCCCGUACUACUAAUACUUCCAAGUGUGGCGGUCCUCCUCUCGUGCUCGGACGGCGGACAAUGCGAUGGCCCCCCCAGGCGCAGAAAGGAAGACAGUAAAACCCGUGUCCUGACCGCCUGUGCUCCACCCACAUGGAGGAGGAUGACCCGCAUGUGCUAUCUAUCGAGAGAAGUUUCUUGUAAUUCUCUUGCAGUGGUGGAUCGCCCUGAAAACUUUCAAGGGGUGACAUGGUCGCUCAUCCAAACCUGGCCCCACGCAGCAUCACACCGUAAAUGAUUGCGGUGGUGGGAGCUGCGUUACGGCUUCGAUCGAUCGAUCAAGCAAGGUCCUUUCGGCAGCCCCGAACCUUUACACACACAAAUUAUGAUGGUAUCCUGCUGCUGACACACACAACGUAAGUCGUGGAUUGCACACAAAGAGAGCACACGCCACAGUCGGGGGAUGCAAGGCUCUUGCCAUUGCUUUCAUUAUUAUUUAUACAUGCAAGGAAGACCCACUGCAUUAUUGGAUGGAAAGGCAAAGGCAAAAGGCAGAGGGGAUCUGGAGAGGGGCACGCAAUGCGUACCAUCCACCCUACGCCUGCCACUCUCCGGAAAGAUUCUCAGGGGAUGAAGCAGUAAACGACGCUACGGACGGAGGAGACACGUAUAAUAAAGGAGUGCUGAAUGACACUCCCAGGCUUUUCCUCCUCCCCGCCUCGAACCGGCCACCGCUUCACGGGUUGAAGCUUGCCGGGGGAGAGAGAGAGAGAGAGUGGACGGUGGUCUACUCCAACCCAUAUACUGUAGUUUUUGGUCGCCAUGGUCAAGUCCUUCCAUGUUCUGGGCGGCGACCAACCGUUGGGCGUCCCUGUUGAUUGCUAAUCUUAGGAUUUGUUUAUUCCGUCUCGGGUCGCACUCCCCAAGGACGAUAGGACGCUCCACAUCUCACCAGCUAAAACUGUUUCCACAUGACGCACACGCAACACGCGACCCCCGGACUUUGAUUCGCCGCACACGAUCGGCAUCGCAUGAUCUUUUGGAUCAUUAAAUUAGCCUUGACCGCCCACCUCCCUCACCCGCUCGCCUUCAGCCCAAAGUUUACCGUUGCAAGUGGGACGCUUGUCGUCCCGUGCAGCCACUUGUCCCCAUCACCCCCCGCCCGGCCUUGGAUUCCACCGCACCCCUUCUUUUCCUUCCCCACACCACACACCCGUCCCCCGUUCCCCACCACCGCGCUCCUUUCGCCCUCCCUUUUCUCCACCAACACACUGCCACAAAAGACUCCCCUUCCACUCCACCAACCUUUCAUCCCAAGGUUUCCUUAACAUAACCCUCGUUCCAAGCCUCUCGAGCUCUCCGGCUCCUUUUUCUUUCCUAGCUCUCGAAUGAAGCUAUGAUACACCAAUUCACCAACAAUGCCACGACAACAGCAGCAACAGCGGCAGCGAGUGCUUUCCUUCUGGAGUUGCCGACUGGUUCCUCUUCUUGCGGCGGUGCUUCUCGUGUCUGUGUUGCAGGUGGGUGGCGGCGAGGCGGUGGUCUUCAACUUCCGGACGCUCACACUGGGGAACCUCAAGCUGUUGGGGGACGCGCACCUUAAGAACGGUAGCUUCCGCCUCUCCCGCGACCUCCCCGUCCCCAACUCCGGCGCCGGCCGCGCCCUCUACGCCGAGCCCGUCCGCCUCCGCCACCCUGCCACCCGUGCCCCCCUCCCCUUCUCCACCUUCUUCUCCUUCUCCAUCGUCAACCUCAAUCCCUCCUCCAUCGGCGGCGGCCUCGCCUUCCUCCUCGCCCCCGACGACACCUCCGUCGGCGACGCCGGUGGCUUCCUCGGCCUCGUCAACGCUACCGCCAGCGCCGCCCCCGGCCGCGCCUCCGUCGUCGCGGUCGAGUUCGACACGCGCAUGGACGUCGAGUUCGAUGACAUCAACGGCAACCACGUAGGGGUGGACCUCGGCAGCUUGGUCUCGGCGCAAGUCGCCGACCUGGACUCCGUUGGGAUUGACCUGAAGAGCGGCGACCUCAUCAACGCCUGGAUCGAGUACGGCGGCGGCGCCGCAGGGUGGACGCUUGAGGUCUUCGUUUCCUACUCCACCGUUCGCCCCGCCGACCCCGUCCUCUCUUUCCCGGUCGAUCUCGGCCGGUACGUCGACGAUUUCGCGUUUGUUGGCUUCUCCGGAUCCACCCAGGGAAGCACCGAGAUCCACAGCGUCGAAUGGUGGAGCUUCUCCUCACCUUCUCUCGGCGCCUCCCCACCGUCCACGACGACGACAGCGCCUCCGCCUCCUGCAACCCUAGUCUUCCCAUUCUUUGGCCCAUCGCCGCCUUCCUUACCCCCUUCCGCCCCUGUCCCUGUAGCCGCCGAAAGCCCCAGCGAAGGAACUGUGCGGCCCUCCUCGGCCUCGUCCUGCCAGAACAACGGGCUUUGUCGCCAGGGCCCAGCCGCGGUCGCUGGGGUGGCGACGGCCAGCGCCUUCGUCGUCGCGGCAGUUGCCGGCUUGGGCUUCUGGGUCUUCACCCGGAGGACAAAGUCACCCAAGAAAUGGGAACACUUGGCGGCGACGUCGGAGAUCGUCAACACCCCGAGAGAGUUCAGCUACAGAGAGUUAGUCGUUGCCACUCGAGGCUUCGACUCAUCUCGUAUCAUUGGCCACGGCGCCUUCGGCACCGUCUACAAAGGGAUCAUCCCGGAGACGGGCGCGAUGGUGGCCGUCAAGAGGUGCAUCCAGAACGGGAGCGACAGCGGCGGGCAGCAGGCGAGGGCGGAGUUCCUCUCUGAGCUCUCCAUCAUUGCCGGCCUACGGCACAGGAAUUUAGUUCGCCUACAAGGUUGGUGCCACGAGAAGGGGGAGAUCCUCUUGGUCUACGACUACAUGAUCCACGGAAGUCUCGACAAGGCUCUGUUCGAUCCAAAGGCGCCGCCUUUGGGGUGGCGGCACCGCAAGAAGAUACUCAUCGGGGUGGCUUCCGCCCUCGCCUACCUCCACCGCGAGUGCGAGAACCAGGUGAUCCACCGCGACGUCAAGUCGAGCAAUGUGAUGCUCGACGAGGACUACCACGCCAGGCUCGGAGACUUCGGACUAGCGCGCCAGGUCGAGCACGACAAGUCGCCGGACGCCACCGUCACCGCCGGCACGAUGGGUUACCUCGCGCCCGAAUACCUGCUCACGGGUCGUGCCACCGAGAAGACCGACGUCUUCAGCUUCGGCGCGGUCGUGCUCGAAGUGGCUUGCGGCCGCCGCCCGAUCGACGGCGACGGCGACAACAACCGCAUCGCAGGCGGCGCCGGCAGCAGCACCAGGAGGUGCAGUAAUCUGGUCGAAUGGGUGUGGGGGCUGCAUGGGGAAGGAAGGAUACUGGACGCGGUGGACCGGCGAUUGGACGGGGAAUUCGAGGAGGGAGAGAUGCGGCGAGCGUUGCUCGUCGGGCUGGCAUGCUCCAACCCGGACCCGAUGACGAGGCCGGGGAUGCGGAACGUGGUCCAAAUGCUGAGCGGCGAAGCCGACCCGCCAUUCGUGCCGGUGGCAAAGCCAUCAAUGAGCUUCAGCACCAAUCAACAUUUACUGCUCAGUCUACAAGACAGCGUUUCCGACUACAACGCCAUGGGACUCAACCUCUCCAUGUCAUCAUCCUCUUCAUCCUCUCUAACCAGCACACUACGAGCCUGCGGCGGCGGCGGCGGCGGCGGAGAAGGGACAUAGGCACACCGCGCGGUGGUAAUCUCUACGAAAUUCACCAAAUACAGUACAUAUACAUGAUUAGGCACAUCGAUCUUUAAACUUGUGGUGUAGGGUUGAAGACAGUGACUCUUCGACCAUUGUAUUAUGUUUGAUCUGCCCAGUGAGUUAGAUAUGUUGGGCACAGCGACGAAUUCGGCAGAGAAGAAACGUGCGUGAAGGACAGCGACGGGAAGUGAGAACUGAGAGGUGGUAUUUAGUAGCAACCAGCAAGGAAGGAGACAGUCUGCCCGUAGGAGUUGCCUCCGUUCUUAUUCGUUUGUUAUGGUGUCUUAAUUGGUCCAUGUUCACAUCAUAUUUGCCCGAAGGAGUCAGAGAUUCUUCUUCGGCAUCGGUUUCGGUUUGAUACCAAAUUCGUCCGACUCUGAUAAUAAUGAACCUUACAAGAUUGUAUCGAGAUGUUCUCG